rnacentral:piRNA from 1 species
CACUUCAGGAAGUGUCACCAUGGUCCCC